AGUGAACGCUGGCGGUAGGCCUAACACAUGCAAGUCGAACGGCAGCACAGUAAGAGCUUGCUCUUACGGGUGGCGAGUGGCGGACGGGUGAGGCAUACAUCGGAAUCUACUUUUUCGUGGGGGAUUACGUAGGGAAACUUACGCUAAUACCGCAUACGACCUACGGGUGAAAGCAGGGGAUCUUCGGACCUUGCGCGUUUGAAUGAGCCGAUGUCGGAUUAGCUAGUUGGCGGGGUAAAGGCCCACCAAGGCGACGAUCCGUAGCUGGUCUGAGAGGAUGAUCAGCCACACUGGAACUGAGACACGGUCCAGACUCCUACGGGAGGCAGCAGUGGGGAAUAUUGGACAAUGGGCGCAAGCCUGAUCCAGCCAUACCGCGUGGGUGAAGAAGGCCUUCGGGUUGUAAAGCCCUUUUGUUGGGAAAGAAAAGCAGCAGGUUAAUCCCCCGCUGUUCUGACGGUACCCAAAGAAUAAGCACCGGCUAACUUCGUG
rnacentral:rRNA from 1 species